UACAACACAACCAAAGAACCUAGAUUGGAUUUAUCCUAAGAGUAAUCAACAACAAGGAGGUUACGAAUGUGGAUAUUAUGUGAUGAAUUGGAUGUUAGACAUAAUUGAAGGGGAAGUAACAAAUGAUUGGAUUGAGCUUUUUGAUGAUGUUGCACCAUUGCCGGAAACCAAAUUGGAAGACAUUCGGAGUCAAUGGGCAACCUUCUUUUUAGAAAAAUUUAGAAAUAGAGCAUGAUUUUUAGUUUAAUUAGGAUUGUUUAUAAUAUAACUCCAAAACAAUU